UACGGGGGGAGCAAGCGUUGUUCGGAUUUACUGGGCGUAAAGGGCGCGUAGGCGGCCAGCGCAAGUCAGUUGUGAAAUCUCCGGGCUUAACUCGGAAAGGUCAACUGAUACUGCGCGGCUAGAGUGCAGAAGGGGCAACUGGAAUUCUCGGUGUAGCGGUGAAAUGCGUAGAUAUCGGGAGGAACACCGGUGGCGAAGGCGGUUCUCUGGGCCUUACCUGACGCUGAGGAGCGAAAGCGUGGGGAGCGAACAGG
rnacentral:rRNA from 1 species